rnacentral:snoRNA from 1 species
GGACAUGCGGCGUACAGAGGUGGAGUUGGAGGAGAACGAAUUGGGGGAGAACGCAAGGGUUCAACCGCAAAAGGUAAGAAUUAGAACCAAAACUUUCUAAUUCUUACCUUUUGCGGUUGAACCCUUGCGUUCUCUUCGUUCUCCUCCAAUUCGUUCUCUUCGUUCUCCUUCAAUUUGUUCUCCUCCAACUCCACCUCUGUACGCCGCAUGUCCU